GCAUAAUCAUUUGCCAUUUAAUUGGUGGCUAGAAUAAAUGAAUACACGAAAGUUAAGCUGUCUCACUUUUACACAUAAAAAUUGAUCCCCUGGUGAAGAAACCAGGAUUCUACAAGAAGACGAAAAGACCCUAUAGAGCUUUACCCUAUAUAUAAUAUUCAUAAAAAGGGUUUAGUUGGGGCAACUAGAGAGAAUCUAAAUCCUCUCUUUUAAGAAAUUAUAAAGAUCCGUUAAUCGAUCAGAAGAAAAAGCUACCUUAGGGAUAACAGGCCAAUCCUUUUUGAGAGACCAUAUUGACAAAAGGGA
rnacentral:rRNA from 1 species